rnacentral:rRNA from 1 species
GCGUGCUUAACACAUGCAAGUCGAACGGCGAUGCUUAUGGAAGGAGUGCUUGCACUUUGGAAAUGAGUAUCUUAGUGGCGGACGGGUGAGUAACGCGUGGGUAACCUGCCCCAUACCGGGGGAUACCACCUGGAAACAGGUGCUAAUACCGCAUAAGCGCACGGGAGCGCAUGCUCCUGUGUGAAAAACUCCGGUGGUAUGGGAUGGACCCGCGUCUGAUUAGCCAGUUAGCAGGGUAACGGCCUACCAAAGCGACGAUCAGUAGCCGGCCUGAGAGGGUGGACGGCCACAUUGGGACUGAGACACGGCCCAAACUCCUACGGGAGGCAGCAGUGGGGAAUAUUGCACAAUGGGGGAAACCCUGAUGCAGCGACGCCGCGUGAGUGAAGAAGUAUUUCGGUAUGUAAAGCUCUAUCAGCAGGAACGAGACAAGACGGUACCUGACUAAGAAGCCCCGGCUAACUACGUGCCAGCAGCCGCGGUAAUACGUAGGGGGCAAGCGUUAUCCGGAAUCACUGGGUGUAAAGGGAGCGUAGACGGCUGAGCAAGCCUGAAGUGAAAGGCGGGGGCCCAACCCCCGGACUGCUUUGGGAACUGUACGGCUGGAGUGCAGGAGAGGUAAGUGGAAUUCCUAGUGUAGCGGUGAAAUGCGUAGAUAUUAGGGGGAACACCAGUGGCGAAGGCGGCUUACUGGACUGUAACUGACGUUGAGGCUCGAAAGCGUGGGGAGCAAACAGGAUUAGAUACCCUGGUAGUCCACGCCGUAAA